rfam:Giardia lamblia ATCC 50803 SC_577 genomic scaffold, whole genome shotgun sequence.
CAGUUCGGCCAUCCUACGGCGGAAACUCCUUAACUCGUUCCGAAUUAGGAAGAGAAGCGCCGUCAGGCCCCGCCAGUACUGCGAUCGGAGACGUCGUGGGAACACGGGGUGCCGAACUUU